rnacentral:snRNA from 1 species
AUACUUACCUGGCAGGGGAGAUACCAUGAUCACGAAGGUGGUUUUCCCAGGGCGAGGCUUAUCCAUUGCACUCCGGAUGUGCUGACCCCUGCGAUUUCCCCAAAUGUGGUAAACUCGACUGCAUAAUUUGUGGUAGUGGGGGACUGCGUUCGCGCUCUCCCCUG